rnacentral:rRNA from 1 species
GACGAACGCUGGCGGCGUGCUUAACACAUGCAAGUCGAACGGAAAGGCCCUGCUUUUGUGGGGUGCUCGAGUGGCGAACGGGUGAGUAACACGCGAGUAACCUGCCCUUGACUUUGGGAUAACUUCAGGAAACUGGGGCUAAUACCGGAUAGGAGCUCCUGCUGCAUGGUGGGGGUUGGAAAGUUUCGGCGGUUGGGGAUGGACUCGCGGCUUAUCAGCUUGUUGGUGGGGUAGUGGCUUACCAAGGCUCUGACGGGUAGCCGGCCUGAGAGGGUGACCGGCCACAUUGGGACUGAGAUACGGCCCAGACUCCUACGGGAGGCAGCAGUGGGGAAUAUUGCACAAUGGGCGGAAGCCUGAUGCAGCAACGCCGCGUGCGGGAUGACGGCCUUCGGGUUGUAAACCGCUUUCGCCUGUGACGAAGCGUGAGUGACGGUAAUGGGUAAAGAAGCACCGGCUAACUACGUG